rnacentral:rRNA from 1 species
AUUGAACGCUGGCGGCAGGCCUAACACAUGCAAGUCGAGCGGAUGAGUGGAGCUUGCUCCAUGAUUCAGCGGCGGACGGGUGAGUAAUGCCUAGGAAUCUGCCUGGUAGUGGGGGACAACGUUUCGAAAGGAACGCUAAUACCGCAUACGUCCUACGGGAGAAAGUGGGGGAUCUUCGGACCUCACGCUAUCAGAUGAGCCUAGGUCGGAUUAGCGAGUUGGUGAGGUAAAGGCUCACCAAGGCGACGAUCCGUAACUGGUCUGAGAGGAUGAUCAGUCACACUGGAACUGAGACACGGGCCAGACUCCUACGGGAGGCAGCAGUGGGGAAUAUUGGACAAUGGGCGAAAGCCUGAUCCAGCCAUGCCGCGUGUGUGAAGAAGGUCUUCGGAUUGUAAAGCACUUUAAGUUGGGAGGAAGGGCAGUAAGUUAAUACCUUGCUGUUUUGACGUUACCAACAGAAUAAGCACCGGCUAACUUCGUGCCAGCCGCCGCCGUAAUAC